ACUUCAUAGUGGAACCUGUGAAUUAAGAACAUGUCAAUCCAUCCAGCGUGAGGGAGCAAGCUACCACAGUUAACCACACCCACGCUGGGCUUGGACCUGGGUCCUCGGCUUCAAAACACGUGACCAUUACGUUCUUCACUCCAUUAAACACAGUGAGGAGGUUGGUAAAGGGACAAAACAAUCUCCAAGGAUCACAGCAGAAGUGAGUUACACCUUCGAGUCACCAAGUCUCCAAAACUAUGAAAAAGAGCCGUAAAGAAAAUAAAUGAAUCCCCAUUGUGAAGUAUGGUGGUGGAUCUGUCAAGGGGCUGUUUUACUUCCUAAGGCACUGGGAAACGUUUUAGGCUACAUGGCAACCUGUAUUCCAUCAAGUACCAGGAGAUUUAAGCCGAAAACCUGUCCGCCUCUGCCAGUAAGCUGGGACCGGCUCCUCGUUGGAUCUUCCACCAUUUACUAAUGAAAGAAUCUUGUUGCAAUGGAUAUCACAGUCCCCUGACCUCAAUUCCUUGGAAACCCUGUGGGAUGAGUUGAGGAGAGUUUACAAGCAAGGAGCAGAGUCUUUGAGAGUUUCUGUAUGGAGGAAGGAUUCCUCCCAGUGUUCUCCCACCUCAUCAAACAUUAUUGGAUUUGACUCAGGGCUGUUAUCUCCACAAGGGGAGGGUACACAAAGUAUUAAAUGCAGCAGUGCCAAUAAUUGCUGCACACUUGUUUUUUACAAUAAUAAUAAUAAUACUAUAAUUUUUUUUCUUUGAAGAAUUUUCACAAAAAAAUUCUACUAAAUUAAUUUCACUUUGUUAUAACCUUAAUACGUAAAAUCAAUAAUAAUCCCAAGCAAAACCACCUCACCAUGUCUACAUAUAUGCUAAACAAACAUUAGCACAAUGAAUAACACCUUGGCAAGUACAAAUAUUUACAUUGUGCCCCUUGUUACAUUCUUACCUUGUUCCACGCACAUACACCAGGAAUUUGAUCUGGUGAAAUCGACUUCACACAUUAAAAGCAGUUAAAAAAAUGAGGUUAAGUAAUGAUGUAAUGAUGCUUACUGGCCACAAGCUGUCGCUGUUGCAGUGGACAAACAGUAUGGCCAAACUGAGGAAGAUUUGAGUUGAGGUCCACACCAAACACAAAUCAAACCCAUAGCGAUCCUUUAAUUCAUUAAGAUGUGUUAUUAAAAUAGAUUUAGUUUACAAAGCCCAUGUCAUUGCCUACCUUCCAGAUCUGCAUUCUUAAACAACUUCUUCCAAAACCAAUUUUUGCCUGUGAUCAAAAACAUUUUGCGACCACAUAAUGUCAAUAAGGGUGAUGGAUUCAACAGUCAAUGUUUACUUUUAUUUUGUUUCAAAUAUAUUUUAUUAGAAGACAGAAACAGACAGGAAUGUAAACAAAAUAAAAGUUCAGGAAAACAAAGGAUUACCAUAAGGCAAUUAUUGUAUAUGAGCUUCUGUGUGGAAAAGAUAAUCAUUGAUUAUGUUCUAUGUUCCACAGUUGGAUUUAUUGCCUAGUCCUGUCCACUCUGUUCUAAAGAAAAUAGAAGACACACAUCUUCCUGAGUGUCUUAUCUAUCGCAAAUAACAUCAUAAUAUUUUGUAGCUUAACUCUUAAAACGGUUAUAGCCACAUUUGUAGGACGAUAACAGAAACCGCUAUGAUUAUUAACAACACAGCAUAAAAUCAGACACAUUUUGCGAUACACGUAACUCUGGUAAAAACAAAAACAAAUGCAGUCCACUCUGUUCAUAACAUAUUGUUUUGGGACAGAAAACAGUAAUGAGAUCAGAUGUUUCAUCAAUGACAAAAGUCAUUUUUCCAUCUUGCUCUAAAGGAUUAUACCUUAGAGUAGGAUGACCAGAUUAUUCAGACCAAUGCUCAUGAAGUGUGCAAAGCUGUCAUCACGGCAUAGGGUGGCUACUUUGAAAAAUCAACAAUGUUAAAGGUAUUUUGAACUGUUUAACAAUUUUGGUUACUACACGAUUCCAUGUGAGUUAUUUCAUAGUUUUGAUGUCUUUACUAUUAUUGUACAAUGUUGAAAAUAGC
ensembl:lncRNA